CAGAAAAGUAAUUAGUUGUAUUUACACUGUUUUAAAACAUGAUACUAAUUUGUUAUUGGUUGACGUGAUUCAUAAAUUCCCUCGAUUCCUCAUCAGACUUCUCUCUGGGAACAAUGUCUGCCAUGGCUAUGGGGGACAGAGCCAGAUCCGAGCAUGCUGGGCUCUGAUGGCAUCACAGGCAGCUUGGAGUAGCAAAUAUACAAACCAUGUGAAUUAUUAGAGCUAGGCUAUAGACUGACUUGUGCCAUCUGUAGCUCUCCUUAUCAGUGCAAAAUUUCCUCUAGAUUUUAUAUUAAUGAACUUUGAUUCUGAACCAUUUGUUGACAGAAAGCAUUGGGUAGCCAGGCAAUAAAAUGCACACGCAUAGUUUGCACAAGCAAAGCCCUCCUCCCUUCCAUGUCUGUUACCACAAUAUCAUUAUGAUCAGAAUUGUAGCCAUUACUGUAUGUCAACCAUAUGACACUGCUGCUUGGUAAUCCAUUGCUCUGCUGUAGGCUACUGUGCUUCACUGCUUCCUGGGAUUGCCUGUGGAAUGGAACUUCCUUCUUCUGAGCAUGUCUGCAUGUGCUUAAUAUAUUGCUGUCAUUUACAUUGUAAUAAUAUCAAGAAAAGCUCCCAAGUAGAGGAUGUAAUUACAAUGGAGACAGUUAGAUGUUUAAGUGAAAGGUUUGUUUCCUUUGGAGAUUUUGGAGAUUCAAGCUUUGUGAAGGACCAGUGUGGUAGCAGGUAG
rnacentral:lncRNA from 1 species